GUGGAAGCAGCUGUGGAGGAGGAGGUAGCCAACACUGUUUUUUAUAUAUAUAUAUAUAUAUAUAUUUUUUUUUUUAAUUGGGGUAGCCCCCAAAAUAUUGGGACAUAUAAAAAAAAGACAACUCUGUUCCGCAGAGUAGCUGUUGACAUUAUAGUUGCGCAGGCACUUUGUUGACUCUAGAGAACCUCGGGCCAAUCGUACAUCCCCGUGACGGUGGCUUUGCAUUCGGAUGUCAUCCAUAUCAACUUUCGAUGCCAGUUUCUGUGCUUACCAUGGUGACCACAGGUAACAGGGAAUCAGGGUUCCAUUCCGUACAGGGACCCUGAGAAAUGGCUACCACAUGCAAGGAAGGCAGCAAGCGCGCAAAUGACCCACUCCCGUCGCGGGAAGGUAGUGAC